GUCCUCCCCCAGCCAUUCUCCUCCAUGGGCUGUAGACACUCACAUUCAAGCCCUUCCUGAAAUCUUGACCCACAGAAACAAACAGAAAGAUAUAAAAUAAGUGUUGUUCUAAGCAGUAAAGUUGCAGUGGUUUCUUACACAGCAAUAGAUAACUGGAAGAGAAAGUGUGUGAAAGAAAACAAAAUGAGAUAACAGAAAUGUAAAAACAGAAGACAGACAUAUCUCUGAGAAUAGCAGCUUCAAGGAGAACAGAAUGGAAAAGAUAAAAAUUGUCUGAAGGACAAGAAUUUGUGUGGCUGGCUUAUUAAGCCCUUACUUAAUGAAAGGCUUAAGAUUUCUUCCAAUCUAUUCAUUUUGCCAAAUAAAUUAAAGAAAAUUAAUAUUUGAAAUCGGUUGAGGCCAGUAUGAGCUAAUUGAAAAUUGAAACAAAGUCAUUUUGAAAAAAUGCAAGAACAGAGUCAUGGUCAUUUCUACAGGGUUUCCAGGAAAAAUUUCUGCCUGACCUCUUUUAGCAAAUAGCCAAGACAUUUGUAAGGAGAAGCUCCAAUUUACAUGCAACCCUUGUUCUAAAAACCUUUCAAGAUUUUCUGCCUUAAGAAUGUGAAAUUUGCCUGUUCUUUUCUCAUUUAUCCUGUCAAUAUGCCUAGCAAACAUUUCACAUUUGGAUGAUACAAUCAUAAACCUCAAUCCAGCUCUUCAGAAAUUUUUUGCGGAAAAAAGAAAAAAAAAAAAAAAACAACAGCAGAAGACUAAAUUAAUGAGGUUUUAUAAAACCCAGCAAACAAGCAGCUCUUGUCUCGAGGUUUGCACAAAACAAAGGCCCUUCUGUGAUUAUGUUCCCACAACAAAGUGCUACUUCCUAAUUAAACCUACACAGAGUAUAAAACACUGCUUCAGAAAGCAGCCUUGAUUUUCUACACCAUAGAAAACGUUUCUGUUUUUACAAAACCUAGUUUGUCUUCUCAAGGAACAUAACACAUUGCUACUCACAAACCUGACCACGCCCAGUGAAAGCUUUGCCCCGGUGUAAACAUUUGCUAAAGAAGACUAUGAAACCCUGAUUCACGGUCCUGCUUCUUGGCCAAAAAAACAUCUGUUAGGGAGCAUCCAGAUCCCGCUGAGUGGAAAGGAGAACAGGGGUCGAGGGAGAACCCAGACACUCUCGAAUCAGAGGGAGAUGGUAAGACACCCUGUUGUUCUCCCUGUGAAAUCAUCACAGAAAGGGAAACAAUGAUAGAAGACCAGGAACAAAGGAGAUGAGACAGCGUGGAGGGUGUGGAAGGCACCAGAAGCUGGGGCGUCCAGCCCCAGACGCAGCACAUAAAGCUGCAUGACUCGGGGCAAGCCAGCGGACCACUCUGCGCUGUCUCCGUACCUCCAAAGAGGGAACCAUGCCUACUCCACGCUGCUGGGAUGAAGCAAUAUGGACAGGUUGGGGGAACCAGGACCCAUCUCUUGUUUCUCUUCAUUCUCCUACAUGGUCUUGAAGCAAAGAAAGUGGGGUCUGAGCCAGGUGGCAUUGGUGCUGAUGUGAGCAUUGCUGGCAAGGUUGAGAAUGGCAGGGAACAGCCCUGAAAGUCAGAAGUCACCAGAUCAGCUCAGCCACUUGAAACUUAAAGGUCAGAUUUCUUCUUCUUAUUUCCCAGAUGAAUCAGAAAGAGAUAGCUUAGGGUUACCAAAGGGGAAAUGGAGGAAUAAAUCAAGAGUUUGGGAGUAACGGAUACACACUACUAUAUAUAAAAGAGAUAAACAACAAGGACCCACUAUAUAGAACUCUACUCAAUAUCUUAUAAUAACCUAUAAUGGAAAAGAAUCUGAAAAAGAAUAUACAUAUAGGUAUGUAUGUGUGUGUGUAUAUAUGUGUGUGUGUAUGUAUAUAUAAGUGAAUCACUUUGCUAUACACCUGAAAUACUGUAAAUCAACUAUACUUCAAUGAAAAAAAAAGAGAGACGGUAAGUCCACAUGCUGAGUAGAGGGAGCCUACAGAAAAGCAGUCUAUGUGAGUUUCAUUUCACAUGAAUUCUAGGACCAGCAAAACUCAUCUACAGGAAGAACCGUGAACAGCAGCUGCAUGGGGUGGGGACUGACUGUGAAGGAACAUGAAGGGCCUUUCAGGGGUUGGGCACUGUUCUAGGUCUUGAUAAAGCUUUGGAUUCACAGGCACAUGCAGGUGUGGAAAAUCACAGAAUGCAUAAAGUUUGGGUAGAUGUGUGUGUUCCACUCCAUGUAGAUCUGACCUCAGAAAAUUAUAAAAGGGUCAUAAAAUAUUGAUGUAAAUGCUGAACAGUUUAGGAGCCAAGUGUACUUAGGUCUUUAACUCCCUUGGAAAUGCAUCAAACAAGAAGCUGGAUUGACAGGUAGAGACGGGCAUGCGGAAAGACAGGUGAGGAAGAGAGCAGAGUA